UGAGGAAUAUUGGACAAUGGGCGCAAGCCUGAUCCAGCCAUUCCGCGUGCAGGAUGAAGGCCCUCGGGUUGUAAACUGCUUUUGUACGGAACGAAAAGGCUCUGGUUAAUACCUGGGGCUCAUGACGGUACCGUAAGAAUAAGCACCGGCUAACUACGUG
rnacentral:rRNA from 1 species